rnacentral:rRNA from 1 species
CAAAAACAUCGCCUCCUUUAAUUUUUAAAUGUAUAAGAGGUCCUACCUGCCCAGUGACCCCCGGUUAAACGGCCGCGGUAUUUUGACCGUGCUAAGGUAGCGCAAUCACUUGUCUUUUAAAUGAAGACCUGUAUGAAUGGUGAAACGAGGGCUUAACUGUCUCCCUCUUUUGGUCAAUGAAAUUGAUCUACCCGUGCAGAAGCGGGUAUAUAAAUACAAGACGAGAAGACCCUUUGGAGCUUAAGACAAAAGACCAGUUAUGUUAAACCCCUUAACAAAAUAGGUCAAACAAGAUAGUUUUGGUCUAAUGUCUUCGGUUGGGGCGACCGCGGGGGAAAGAAAAGCCCCCAUGUAGAACCAGGGUAUUCCCUAAACUAAGAGAGACACCUCUAAGCCACAGAACAUCUGACUUAAAGAUCCGGCAAUACAGCCGACCAACGAACCAAGUUACCCUAGGGAUAACAGCGCAAUCCCCUCCAAGAGUCCAUAUCGACAAGGGGGUUUACGACCUCGAUGUUGGAUCAGGACAUCCUAAUGGUGCAGCCGCUAUUAAGGGUUCGUUUGUUCAACAAUUAAAGUCCUACGUGAUCUGAG